rnacentral:misc_RNA from 1 species
GGUAGUAAAAGACGUAACAAGGUUUCCGUAGGUGAACCUGCGGAAGGAUCAUUAUUGUAUAACCGAGGUGCGAGGGCUGUCGCUGACCCGAAAGGUCGUGCACGCCCGAGUGCCCUCACACACAUCCAUCUCACCCCUAUGUGCACCACCGCGUGGGUCCCCCUUUGGCUUGUUCGGAGGGGGGCUUACGUUUUCACACAAACUUUGUAUGCAGUGUAGAAUGUAUUUUUUGUUUUUGCGAUCACGCAAUCAAUACAACUUUCAACAACGGAUCUCUUGGCUCUC